rnacentral:rRNA from 1 species
CCGCGGCGCAUAGNUAGUUGGUGAGGUAACGGCUCACCAAGGGCAACGAUGUGUAGCCGACCUGAGAGGGUGAUCGGCCACACUGGGAGUGAGACACGGCCCAGACUCCUACGGGAGGCAGCAGUAGGGAAUCUUCCCGCAAUGGCGGAAAGUCUGACGGAGCAACGCCGCGUGAGUGAUGAAGGUUUUCGGAUCGUANANCUCUGUUGUUAGNGAAGAACAAGUGCAAGAGUAACUGCNNGCACCUUGACGGUACCUAACCAGAAAGCCACGGCUAANUACGUGCCAGCAGCCGCGGUAAUANGUAGGUGGCGAGCGUUGUCCGGAAUUAUUGGGCGUAAAGGGCUCGCAGGCGGUUUUUUAAGUNUGAUGUGAAAGCCCCCGGCUCAACCGGGGAGGGUCAUUGGAAACUGGGAAACUUGAGNGCAGAAGAGGAGAGUGGAAUUCCACGUGUAGCGGUGAANUGCGUAGAGAUGUGGAGGAACACCAGUGGNGAAGGCGACUCUNUGGUCUGUAACUGACGNUGAGGAGCGAAAGCGUGGGGAGCGAACAGGAUUAGAUACCCUGGUAGUCCACGCNGUAACCGAUGAGUGNUAAGUGUUAGGGGGUUUCCGCCCNUUAGUGNUGCAGNUAACGCNUUAAGCACUCCGCNUGGGGAGUACGGUCGCAAGANUGAAACUCAAAGGAAUUGACGGGGGCCCGCACAAGCGGUGGAGCAUGUGGUUUAAUUCGAAGCAACGCGAAGNACCUUACCAGGUCUUGACAUCCUCUGACAACCCUAGAGAUAGGGCUUUCCCUUCGGGGACAGAGUGACAG